rnacentral:rRNA from 1 species
UACGAAGGGGGCUAGCGUUGUUCGGAUUUACUGGGCGUAAAGCGCACGUAGGCGGAUUCUUAAGUCAGGGGUGAAAUCCCGAGGCUCAACCUCGGAACUGCCUUUGAUACUGGGGAUCUCGAGUUCGGGAGAGGUGAGUGGAAUUGCGAGUGUAGAGGUGAAAUUCGUAGAUAUUCGCAAGAACACCAGUGGCGAAGGCGGCUCACUGGCCCGAUACUGACGCUGAGGUGCGAAAGCGUGGGGAGCAACAGG